AAACGACAAAAUCUUAAAGUACUGGCACCCAACCGACCUAGGUUGCACGAAGGAUUAUUGCGGACAUCACUCAUUAUCAACACGUCGGUGUCGCUUCAAACGACUAGGACAGCCCCAUCUCCCCAAAGGUGAAGCAUUCCGGCAGCGAUCACCCUAGAUCGUCGACUGCUUUGAAAUGGUCAAAAUUAGUUGAUUUUCUUUCAGAUUAUAUUUCAGAAAGCUGACGAUUCUUUAAAAGUGUACCAAAUACCAAUUACUUUUGGUAUGCGGGAUCAGUUUCGCUAAGCCAAUUGGAAUGAAGCACACGCUUUGGGGCUGACAGACUUUACAGUUGGUCAAAGUUGGAUAUAAUUCUGAAAAAAUCAACGACACAAAGGCUCACACGUUACAUAAAUGCUUAAAUCAGCUCGAACAAGAGUGAACAAGAAAAAUCAUCUGGCCCACUGGCCCACCGACGACAAUUCAGACUCGCGAUUGACACCGGAUUUAGUGACAAAUUCAGCACCAGCGGUUGACGGCCGUUGAAAUAAUUGUGGCAGUCGACGUCUUCAGAGUGUCCAGGGAAUCUACGGGAGUCAAGGGAGGUUGCCCUGGAAGACUCCUAAUCCGAGCAGAUUCUGACUCCUUAGUGUAGUGGACAAGCAAGUUACCAAAAUACAGAUGAAUUUUCGACGGCGAUGUAGACUGGCUUCACGAAAUAUUUAUGUAUUUUCCUGUCUUCCAAUGCAAUAUUGCCGGGGGCCCU
rnacentral:lncRNA from 1 species